AGAGCGUGGCUGGGAGAGACUCAGUGCUGUGGCUGUCUCUGUCACUCCAGGGAGAGGCUGCGAGUCUCUUCUCAGCCCUCAGGGAGCCUUAGGCAGUCUUUCUGCACACAAGCUCUUGCCAUGUUCUUGGAUGCCCCUCUGAGGUGAAUGCUGUCAUGACGACUGAGGGCUCUGGAUGGGCUGGGUGUGUGGAGUGCGGACAGCAUUUGUAACUGGAUGCUUGAAGCACGAGGUACAACAGGGCAUUCUGGGAAGGCUCUGGUAUGUGAAAAUGCAAAGCAAGAAAAGAGCUGCCUCUUCUCUGCCCAAAACUUUGCUUCCAUCCAGCUGAAGGUUCUGGGGCGGCCGACUCACACUUGUUGCUUUGAUCAACCUCUGUACAGCUGUGGCCCAACCCUAGGAAACAGCUGACACAAGCUACCAGAGGACAAGCGCAGCAGCUCCUCUUCUCCUCAGCGCACUCGACAGGGCGGACAAGGGACCAUCCCACGUGAAUCUACCGCUGCGGACACUCGGCACCCACUCUGAGUGGAGCGGCCAAUGCAAACACGCGCAGGUUAUCUCUGAACCGGGGCCUGAAGUCCACUGCUCCUGAGCUGGUGUAUGGGACUGGGCUGGACCCUCGGGUUACAGGAAGUCCUGAAGAACAGCUGUAGGCUGAGAGGGCAGCAGUGAUGGAGGCGGCAGCAGCAGGCCCUAUUUGCCACGUUAGAACAACAAAGACCGCUCAACAGCGUCAACAAGGGAGUGGCACUCAGAUUUGUGUUUUAUUUUCUUUCUUUUGAAAAAAAAAUUAUUAUUUUAUGUGCAUUGGUGUUUUGCCUGCAUGUAUGUCUGUGUGAGGGUGUCAGAUCCUCUAGAACUGGAGUUACACACAGUUGUGAGCUGCCAUGUUGGUGCUGGGAAUUGAACCCGGGUCUUCUGGAAGAGCAGCCAGCGCUCUUAACCACUGGCUAUCUCUCCAGCCCUAGGUUUGUACUUUCUAAAGAUCACUCUGGCUCAGCAGGAACACACGGGGAAGGAAAGGAGGCUACUACAAGGCCAGAUCAGAGUAUCGGGAUGUGAUGGUUCAUAUUGUCAGCUUGACAGGUCUUAGACUCACCUAGGUGACAAGCCUCGGGGCACACCUGUGAGGGGUUAUCUAGCUUAGGUUAACCAUGGGGGGAAGACCUACCUCAUCUGUGGGUGGCACCAUGCCACGGACACGAGCGUCAAACUCAGUAGAAAGGAAGAGCUAACACCGGCAUUAACUGCUCUCUGUUACUGCCUGCCUCAAGCCCCUGUCACCAUGACGCCUGCUAUUAUGGACUGUACUCCUGAACUAAG